rnacentral:rRNA from 1 species
GACGAACGCUGGCGGCGUGCUUAACACAUGCAAGUCGAACGGAAAGGCCCUGCUUUUGUGGGGUGCUCGAGUGGCGAACGGGUGAGUAACACGUGAGUAACCUGCCCUUGACUUUGGGAUAACUUCAGGAAACUGGGGCUAAUACCGGAUAGGAGCUCCUGCUGCAUGGUGGGGGUUGGAAAGUUUCGGCGGUUGGGGAUGGACUCGCGGCUUAUCAGCUUGUUGGUGGGGUAGUGGCUUACCAAGGCUUUGACGGGUAGCCGGCCUGAGAGGGUGACCGGCCACAAUGGGACUGAGAUACGGACCAGACUCCUACGGGAGGCAGCAGGGGGGAAUAUUGCACAACGGGCGGAAGCCUGAUGCAGCAACGCCGCGUGCGGGAUGACGGCCUUCGGGUUGUAAACCGCUUUCGCCUGUGACGAAGCGUGAGUGACGGUAAUGGGUAAAGAAGCACCGGCUAACUACGUG